AAGCUCGUAGUUGAAUUUCGGGGUCAGUAGGUUGGUCGUGCCACCGGUACGUACUGGUCUCACCGAUUCCUCCUUCCUGAUGAGCUGUAAUGCCAUUAAUUUGGUGUUGCAGGGAAUCUGGACUGUUACUUUGAAAAAAUUAGAGUGUUUAAAGCAGGCUAACGCUUGAAUACAUUAGCAUGGAAUAAUGAAAUAGGACGUUCGAUCCUAUUUUGUUGGUUUCUAGGAUUGACGUAAUGAUUAAUAGGGAUAGUUGGG
rnacentral:rRNA from 1 species